CCUAAUCCUUCUCUAGAUAUUGAGAAGACUUCUUGCUUUCUUAUUUUUUUCUCAACUUUUAAACAUUUGUAGCAGUAAUAUAUAAGCUUCUUAUGCAAGAUACACUAACUCCUUUGCAAAAAGAUGCCUACUCAUUCAUCAUUUACCUGCAAAUAGAUUUAAGCUGUUUGCUAACAUAAUAGUGGAGAAUAGAUAGGAAUAUAGUUAUUUAUAUUUAUAUAUACACACAUGCAGUGUAAUUUACAUUUCUUAAAAAUGUAAUUUUUAAAAGGAAAUCGUCAAUUUUUUUUAUUAAAAAAUUUAGAAAGAUAACACCAACUUGAACAACAUUUUCACAUUUUCCAAAAGGAUAUCAAAAAAAUCCAAAUUCUAUAUGUUCUUGACAAAAUAAAACAAUAAAGAAAUCUACAGAUUUCUCUUGAUGUGAUCAUAUACUGGAAAUAUUUUUAAGUGAGUCAAUAGUCACUAUCAUCGGCUAACUAUAUGUCACACUUGACAUAUAGUCAGUACAUCUCACCUUCACAUGCCAGAAAUCACGAGCUGGAAGUAUAUGGACUUGUAGGAAAAAAAGUAGUUUACAAUGGGCAGAAAAUGAAAGCUCGUGAAUAAUAUCAUAAUUUAGUGCUUUAAUGGAAUAGUAUGUGCUAAGACAAACUUCAGAGCUGUUUCUCGAUUCUUGCAUUGCAUUAGUUGACAGGUGUAAAAUAUUUAUUCAACUCUAUGUCAAACUUUUAAUUAUUAGUUCUACCGCAGAGCAGGAAAAUUAUCAUUCAAUAAAAAUCUAAACAAUAAAUUCCACUAGGACAAGAUUUUAAAGUAUGAUUUGGAAGCUUUUAUGUGCUACUUAGUUUGUAUGACAUCUUACUCUCUGCCCCUGAGUUGUCCGCACAUAGUCUAGACAUCACCUGAAGGUGAACAUGACCAGGUAGUAAUAUCGCAAACUCUGCAAUAAUCCCUAAUACUUUCCCAAUCACUGUUUGUAAUGUCACUCUUCUCACCAUGAGGCUAUACCUCCACCACCCACUGUGGACCUUUUGGCAUGCUACCACUAGUAAUGGCCUCUGACCAUCUCCCCAUUUCAUACUUUGAAAACUACAGCACCUCAGGGUCUGGUACUGCCAAACAGUGAGUUAAUUGUUAAAUGAGUUAAUUGUUUUCUACCCUUUCAAAAUGAUCAAGUGAGUUUCUAGUUCACUCACUCAACCACGUACAUGCUCCUCUGCGUUCUUUCACUGGUUUGGGGGUUUUUGUUUGUUUUGUUUUGUUUUUACACUGAACAUUAAAAAAAAUGUCUUUACUAGAAGAACUAGACUUUUCCUGCAAUCAACAUACCUUAAUUCAGCAAAAUUCUUUCAAAAUUUCCUUAAUUUCUAGAGCCUGUUACCAACAGACAGAAGGGAGGUUGGACUUGAGGGCCUCAAAGCACUCCUUCCAUCCUGAACUACUUUACACUUUCAGGUUCUUCUGUGUUUUCUCAUAUGGUGAUGUAACUAACUAUUUAUUCUCAUUUGAACUCUACUUAAACAUUCAGGUCUGACAUACUGAAAUAAUUGUUUACACAGCCAGCCAGUACUGAUUGCUUCCAUGACCCCCACUGUCUAUAAUUUCACAGAGACUACAAACUCUCUCAGGUUCUGUUUAUCAGCUCUGAGAUGUAAGAUUCUCACUGUCUUAAGAAAAUCCUUACUUUCUCUUAAACAGAAAAAUCAAAUCUGCAAUAUAAUAUCUAAUCAAUUUCUUAUAAAAAUUUAUUACAUUAGUAAAUGGAAAGUGAUUACUGUCUCUCCACUUCUUAAGUUAUAAAAAAAUUACUUCCACCAAGGAGAAUAAACUUUUUAUAUAGGCCCAUCACAAUCUGUUUCCAACAUAAGUACUUGAAGUUGGAAGUACAUAAAACUCUUACACAAUAAUGGAGGCACCAGCCAGCCAUUUCAACUUGCUUUUCACUGAAUUCCGUUUUAUAUUCAUUCAGUGAAAGUCUCGAUGUGCUUUGUAUUUUCAGGACCUCUGUAUUUUCAGUAUUUUCAGAACUCCUACGUAAAUACAUUUUGUUAUCAGUGGGAAGCAUUUCCUAAAACAUCAAUGCAAUUCAAGAAGUCCUGAUCGAGUCAAGGAAGUUUGCACUUCUUAAUUGCAUACAUGCUUUUCUACUUAAAACACUUAACAAUGUUGUGUAAAUUGGUUUUAUAUUCAAAUAAAUCUUUUU
rnacentral:lncRNA from 1 species